CCUGGUGCCAUGAUUAUAAAGAAAAUUCCUCGUUCUGACUGCUCAAACCAUGGGCAUGACAGACUUCUAUUACUAGCUGGAUAGUAUAUGAGCACCA